rnacentral:lncRNA from 1 species
CUGUAUGAAUGUUAUUUCAUGAACCAAAAUACUUCAGCACCAGUGGUGAUAUACCACAAUAGUUCGGACACAAUCAGAAAUAAUUUCUUUUCUGGAAAACUUAUGACUAAAACUUCACUACAUUUGAAAUACAUAUAUCGUACUUUUCACUACACUACAUUUGUAACAGACUUUCUGUGAGUUUAAAUGGGUUUAAGAAAUGCAUUAUCUGUCUUACUAAAGAGGGACUUUUAUUUUGACGGGUGUUGUAGACUACAGGGAAGGAAAGGGAGAGCACGCAGUUCAAGUUCAUCAGAGUUGUGUCGCAGAUAACGUUUGCAACUUUAAGCACCCCCCGAAAAUGCAUAAGGUCUGUAUAUAUUUGAUAACUGUUUGUUGUAAUGACUGUUUUGUGUAAUUCACUGUAUGUUAAUGAUAGAGGUUUGAACUAGUCUGUAAUUCGCGCUUCUUGUACUUUGUUGGUUUAGCUCUUACGGUGAUUCUUGGAGUCUUACGGUGAUUUUUGAGUGAAAACGGACUCAAUAAACUUCAUUAACAUCAGUAAAGCUUGGGCCAUCAUUCGGGCGGGGUCUGCUACAGUAAGAGCUUUACCUUCGCUGGUUAAGAUCCUCGAUGCACGUGCAUGCUCACGAUGGCAAUAUGACGGAUUGCUGCACGUCGGAAUCAGCGUGAUGGUCUACGGAGCAGAGUCGCUGUAGUCAACGAGUUCACUAUGGAAAUGGAUACGGACGAACCGGAUUCUGAAAGCCUGCUUCAGACGGAUAUUGAAGGUGAAAAGGAUAAAAAUGAAGCAGUUAAAAAUAAGGAUAAAGAUAAACCUGAAUCUCAGUGUCAAAAGCAAGACAGUAAAGAACUCACUCGACGUUCAGAACGUCCGCAUAUGCCCACGGAGAAAAUGCUUGCUUAUCAGAAAGAUGAAUGCUGUAAGAAAGAAAAAAGAUUAAACACUUUGUAUGAGCAAUGGAAGAUAGAAGCUCGUAAAGCAAGACAGAGCUUAAAAACGGACAUAACUGAUAAACAGCUGGCUGAAAUGGCUGACUCUAUUGAGGACAAAAAUAAUAAUAUUUUGAAACUCUUCAGUGACAUAAGGGAACAUGUUACACCUACUGCAGAUUUAAGACGUAAAAUUGAUGCAUGUGAAGCUGUGACCAAUGACAUAAUCAAAAUAGUGCUUGAAAGAAUGGCAUUUGUAGAUGGCGAAUUUGAUGCAGAAAGAGAAAGGGGCAGGCUGCGUGAACUUUUAGCACAUAGUUAUGCUCGCUCUAUAUAUGGUUCCAGUGCUUCAAAAACAAGUGUCAGUAGCCAUUCCAGAUCCUCUAGUGCAACAAGCAAACGUGCAGAUGCUGCAGCAGAACUGGCUGCAAAAGAGGCUGAAUAUAAGAUGAUGCAAACAGAAAGGCAACAAAAGGAAAAAAUAAGAACUUUAGAAGAGCAACUCAGAAGAGAGUUAGAAACUCAAAAGUUUGAACUGGAACGGCUGCAGGUGGAAAAGGAUAUAGAGGUUGCUCGAGCCAGAAUAAAAUCCUAUGAUGAAGAAAUAAAACAAGAGACAAGAAGUCAGUCAAUACCGAAUGAUCAUCAAGGGCAGAGAAAUGAAAUGUUACAUCAUUGCAGUGUUGUUCAGUCAACACCUCUCAGUGAAGUGUCCCAUCUUGCUCAGGCAGUUCAGGACAGCAUAGCCAUCAACAGGUUACCCAUACCCGAGCCUUCAGUGUUCAAUGGAGACCCAAUUCAGUUUGUGGACUGGAAAGCCUCAUUUAUGUCACUUAUAGAUAGAAAAGGCAUCUCUGCAGCUGAUAAACUCUAUUAUUUGAAAAAGUAUGUCAGUGGCUCAGCACACAAAUAUCUUGAAGGCACCUUUUAUCGUAAUGAUGAAGAAGCGUACAAAGAUGCUUGGAACAAGCUUAACCAAAGAUACGGGCAGCCAUUUGUCAUUCAAAGAGCAUUCCGUGAAAAGCUGUCAAAGUGGCCAAGAAUAUCAUCCAAAGAUGCAGAAGGCCUGAGAACAUUUUCAGACUUCUUAAAUGCCUGCCUGCAAGCCAUACCUCAUGUUAAAGGCCUGGAAAUAUUAAACGACUGUGAAGAGAAUCAAAAGCUGGUACAGAAACUUCCUGACUGGGCAGCCUCCAGGUGGAACCGCCAAGUCACAACAUCACUUAUGGAUGGCAAGGAAUUUCCAAGCUUUCAAGACUUUGUAAAAUUCAUGUCAACUGAAGCAGAAAUAGUGUGUAAUCCUAUCACUUCUCUACAUGCUCUUCAUUCACGCGAGUCACCUCAUGAGAGAAGAAUCUCAAAUGAAACCAAAAGAAACAAGGCGAUUGUCUUCAAAACACAAACAACAGAAAACAGUGACAAACAGACAAUGGCUAAAGGACAGUUAAAAACAUCAUGCAUGUUGUGUCAAGAUGACAGCCAUCCACUCUGUAAGUGCCCAGAAUUCAUGGUAAAGUCUCUGAAAGACAGAAGGUCCUAUGUCAAAGACAACAAACUCUGUUUUGGGUGUAUGAAACCAGGUCACUGUGCUAAGGAUUGUCGGCAUCGCCACACAUGUGAUGUAUGCAAACUGCGACAUCCCACAUGUCUUCAUGACUACAACUAUGAGAAUAACGGAAACAGAAAGCAACCAACGGUAAGCAUGGAGCAUGCACGUGAGAGUGAGAUUACAGAUGCCAUAUCGCUUAAUAUCACAAGACAAGGUCGUUCAGUCAUUACAUCCAUGAUUGUACCUGUGUGGGUGUCGUCCAUCAAAAAUCCAUCCAAUGAACAGCUUGUCUAUGCUUUGUUAGACACUCAGAGUGACACCACUUUCAUUGAUGAAGAAGUGAGUAAUACACUGCAAGUGGAUUCUCAGCCAAUAAAACUCAAACUUACCACCAUGAUAGGAGAUAGUAUGAUAAUUAAAAGUAAAAGAGUGUCUGAUCUUCGUGUGAGAGGGUACAAUUCAUCAGUACAUAUCAAUCUGCCUCCAGUAUACACCAAGGAGUGUAUUCCUGUCAAUCGUGAUCACAUACCAACGCAGGAAACGGCAAAGAACUGGAGUCACUUGAAGGUAAUCACAGACGAAAUGUCACCUCUUCUCAGCUGUGAAGUAGGUUUACUUAUUGGCUACAACUGCCACAGAGUGCUAGCUCCCAGGCAAGUUAUACUAGGAAAAGAUGAUGAACCUUAUGCUAUUCUAACUGACUUAGGAUGGAGUGUUGUGGGCUGCUCCACACCAGGUAUCAACGGAUCAACAUCAGUCAGUCUGUGUCACAGAAUAGCCACAAAGGAGAUUCCAGCUUUGACACCUAUGGAUGCCAUCCGUGUACUCGAGUCGGACUUUAAGGAUGUCACAGCAGAUGAAAAGACAAUUUCUCAGGAUGAUAUUGUGUUCCUAGACAAACUCAAAGAAGGUAUAAAGAAAAAUGCUCAAGGACAUUAUGAAAUGCCUCUUCCGUUCAAACAACGGCCAUACUUACCUGAUAACAGAGAGCUUGCCAAGGUCAGACUCAAUCAUUUGAACAAGAAAUUCUGUAGAAACGAGAAAUAUAAGACAGACUACAUUGCUUACAUGAAUGACAUCAUUGAAAGAGGUGAUGUAGAAACAGUGAAUGAUGAUGGAACUGUUGGCGAAAAGUGGUACAUACCUCAUCAUGGCAUCUACCAUCCAAAAAAGCCAGACAAGCUACGUGUCGUUUUUGAUUGUUCCGCAAAAUUCAAAGGCACAAGUCUCAACGAACAUUUGUUACCAGGACCAGACAUGAUAAACAAUCUCACCGGAGUCCUUGUUAGGUUCAGAAGGCAUCCUAUAGCUGUAAUAUGUGACAUCGAAAAAAUGUUUCACCAGUUUCAUGUCCAGGAAAAUGACCGAGAUUACCUGCGCUUCUUAUGGUGGAAAAACGGAGACACAAAUUCAGCGCUUCAAGAUUAUCGGAUGAAAGUGCAUCUUUUCGGCGCGGUUUCUUCGCCUGGCUGCGCAAACUAUGGACUAAGAUAUCUAGCCAGUGAGCAUAGUCAAUCAUACCCAUUAGCCGCUCAGUUCAUCUUAAGAGACUUCUAUGUUGAUGAUGGAGUCACAAGUGUAGAGACGGUGGAAAAGGCCAUUCAGCUGGCAAAGGAAGCACGGGAGUUGUGCAUAAAGGGAAGUCUUCGACUUCACAAGUUUGUGUCAAAUGACAACACUGUUCUGCAGAGCAUACCAGCAUCAGAACGUGCUGUAAACUUUGAAACAAAGGAUCUUACCUUCAAUGACAUGCCACUUGAAAGAGCGCUGGGAAUUCAUUGGAACAUACAGAGUGAUAGCUUCCAAUUCCAUAUCCCACUAAAAGGUCAACCUACAACACGUCGUGGCAUAUUGUCAACGGUUGCCUCCAUAUAUGAUCCUUUGGGCUUUGUAGCUCCCUAUGUUCUCAAUGGUAAGAGGAUCCUACAAGAAAUGUGUCGCCAGGGUACAGGCUGGGAUGAUCCACUUUCCCUUGCUCUUAGCCCAUGGUGGGAGAAAUGGCAGAAUGACUUUGUCAAUCUGGAAAAGGUGGACAUAUCACGAUGCUAUGUGCCUGCUGAUUUCGGUAAAAUUGUAAAAACGGAAAUACAUCAUUUCUCUGAUGCAAGUACCUGUGGUUAUGGUCAGUGUUCUUAUCUGAGAGUAAUCAAUGAGAAGGAUGAGAUUCAUUGCACUUUCCUCAUUGGCAAAGCCCGGGUUACUCCUGUAAAGAUUACUACAAUUCCAAGGUUAGAGUUGACGGCAGCAGUGGUAUCAGUCCAAAUGAGCAAUAUGCUCAGAGAAGAGCUUGACCUCACCAAUGUCAAUGAAUUCUUUUGGACUGACUCAAAGGUGGUCUUGGGUUACAUCAAUAACGACGCCCGUCGUUUUCAUACGUUUGUAUCCAACAGAGUCCAAAAAAUACGCCAAAGCACAGCACCCAAACAAUGGCUAUACGUCCCAACAGAUGAUAACCCAGCAGACAAUGCUUCAAGAGGAAGAACAAUAAAUGAAUUGCUCUCGUCCAACUGGUUCUCAGGUCCUUCAUUCCUGUGGAAGAAAGAAAUAGAGACCUCAAAUGUUGUACCGGAGCUUCCAAUAGGAGAUCCAGAAGUUAAAAAGAUCCAGACGUUUCAAACAGAAACCACAGAAAGUAAAGAUCUUGUAGACCAUUUGUCAAAGUUCUCAUCUUGGUCUAAUGCUGUCAAAGCUAUUGCACGCCUUGUGAGACGGAUUAAGAAGGAUAAAACUAAUGCGCCAGCUUCUGUAGGUGAACAGGAACAUGCAAAAGGCUUGAUUCUAAAAGGAGUUCAAAAACAAGCAUAUCAGAAAGAAAUAGAUGUCCUGAGUCAAGGAAAACAACUUCCAGGUUAUAAUAAACUUCAUCACCUGGACGCCUUCAUAGACCUUCAUGGUAUGAUCAAGGUGGGAGGAAGACUUAUCCACUCAUCAUGCACUCACUCGUUCAAGCACCCACUGAUCCUUCCUAAAGAUCAUCAUGUAACAAAGUUGAUUAUUGCACACUAUCAUGAAAGUGUAAAGCAUCAAGGAAAGGGUUUCACAAUUAAUGCAAUCAGAUCUUCCGGCUAUUGGAUACCUGGAAUAAACAGAGCUGUCACAUCUUACAUUCGCAACUGUGUACCUUGUAGAAGGUUGAGAAAACCUGUGGAAGGCCAGCGGAUGAGUGAUCUUCCCACAGAACGUGUAGAGCCUUCCCCACCGUUUGUGUAUUGUGGUAUGGAUUGCUUUGGUCCAUUCAUGACUAAAGAAGGAAGAAAACAGCACAAAAGGUAUGGUCUGCUUCUAACUUGCUUUUGUUCAAGAGCCAUUCAUAUAGAAAUGUUAGAAGAUAUGUCCACAGAUGCUUUCAUCAACAGUUUGCGAUGCUUUAUUGCAAUUCGAGGCACAGUACGGCAGAUCAGAUGUGACCAAGGUACCAAUUUCGUUGGCGCAAAAAACGAACUGAACUCAGCAUUACAGCAGCUUGACCCAGAAAGGCUCACCGCUUUCCUUGCAGAUAAACAGUGUGAUUUUGUAAUGAAUCCCCCUCAUUCCAGUCAUGCAGGUGGUGUAUGGGAGCGUCAAAUCAAAACUGUACGGAGUGUUCUUAAUGCUACAGUUUCCCUCUCAUCAGGCAGGCUUAACGAUGCUUCACUGCGCACUUUAUUUUAUGAAGCCAUGGCGAUAGUCAACAGUCGCCCCCUUACAGUGGAUAACCUGAACGACCCCAAGAGCUUAGAACCACUCACACCUAACCAUCUGAUUACCAUGAAAGCCACCACGGUCCUACCACCACCAGGAAAGUUCAUAAGAGAAGACAUCUACGGGAGAAAGAGAUGGAGACAGGUGCAGUACCUUACUGAACAGUUUUGGAGUAGAUGGAAAAAAGAGUAUCUCCACAACAUUAUGGCUAGACAAUGCUGGCAUGCUCCAAAAAGGAAUUUGCAGAUUGGUGAUGUGGUCAUGGAUACAGAUGAGAACCUUCCAAGAAAUGAGUGGAGACUAGGACGGGUCAUAGACACUGUAACUAGCCAAGAUGGACUAGUAAGGAAAGUCACAAUAGCACUCGGUGACAAAAAACUAAACAAAAAAGGAGAACGGGUAAACAAGGUCUCAGUCGUAGAGAGACCAGCUCAGAAGUUGGUCUUAUUAUUGGAAGCGGAGUGAACAAAUCAAGUUAAAAUUACUUAUGUUUGAAAAUUAUGCAUGUCAAAAUAACAUUUAUAAUUUGGUGGGAGUGUAACAGACUUUCUGUGAGUUUAAAUGGGUUUAAGAAAUGCAUUAUCUGUCUUACUAAAGAGGGACUUUUAUUUUGACGGGUGUUGUAGACUACAGGGAAGGAAAGGGAGAGCACGCAGUUCAAGUUCAUCAGAGUUGUGUCGCAGAUAACGUUUGCAACUUUAAGCACCCCCCGAAAAUGCAUAAGGUCUGUAUAUAUUUGAUAACUGUUUGUUGUAAUGACUGUUUUGUGUAAUUCACUGUAUGUUAAUGAUAGAGGUUUGAACUAGUCUGUAAUUCGCGCUUCUUGUACUUUGUUGGUUUAGCUCUUACGGUGAUUCUUGGAGUCUUACGGUGAUUUUUGAGUGAAAACGGACUCAAUAAACUUCAUUAACAUCAGUAAAGCUUGGGCCAUCAUUCGGGCGGGGUCUGCUACAACAUUUCUAUCAAGGACGUCAAAUAGAAAGUUUUUACUUUGUAGCUUGGUGGGUGAAUUUUCUUCUUCUCUAAA